GAUGAACGCUAGCGGGAGGCUUAACACAUGCAAGUCGAGGGGCAGCAUAGGGUAGCAAUACUCUGAUGGCGACCGGCAAACGGGUGAGUAACGCGUAUGCAACCUACCCUGUACAGGGGGAUAACCCGGAGAAAUUCGGACUAAUAUCCCGUAAUAAUAUCCGGAGCAUCUUUGGAUAUUUAAAGUUCCGACGGUACGGGAUGGGCAUGCGUAACAUUAACUGGUUGGUAAGGUAACGGCUUACCAAGGCUAUGAUGUUAGGGUCCUGAGAGGGUGGUCCCCACACUGGUACUGAGACACGGACCAGACUCCUACGGGAGGCAGCAGUGAGGAAUAUUGGUCAAUGGGCGCAAGCCUGAACCAGCCAUCCCGCGUGCAGGAAGACGGCCCUAUGGGUUGUAAACUGCUUUUCCAGGGAGAGAAACUUACGCACGUGUUGCGUGACUGACGGUACCCUGGGAAUAAGCAUCGGCUAACUCCGUG
rnacentral:rRNA from 1 species